GGCUAACACCGCUAUACAGGCAGCUGCAGGGGAUGGCAAGGAGACUGGAAGACCUACUGGUUUAUUCCCAGCUGAUGACCCUGCAGCUCGCCUAGAGAAGGUGCGAAGUGCCGUAACAGGAAACAACACCUGACCCGUUAACAGAGUCAUUGCAUGUGUGUAUUUCUCAACCAAGGAUGUGUAUUUGGAGCGUGGCGGCAGCGUCGCAUAUCAUGCAGCAAAUAGUUUGUCAUUCUGAUCAAUGCAGCAAAGCGUACAGGACGCAUAUCAGCUCCGUCACAGCAUCGUAUCGAGAGCAGCACUGCUAAAGAUUCGCGGUGAGUCUAUUUUUGCUAUUCUACACUUCCAAUACACGUCAAUCCACCCAGAGAAGAUCGUUCUAGACAGGAGGUCAAGCACGAAAAACAUGCACGUCAUCUGGUAUUUCAAAAUAUUGAGUUUAAGUUUAAACACAUAGCACUUCCUUAAAUAUGUGGUUACUAUGCAGACCACAUACUUGGUGACUGGCCUGCAGAGCGGCAUCGCAUUUCCUGCAUUUCUACAUUUCCAGAAAUGCAGUUGGUCCAUCUAUAUGUUGUUCAAAAGAUGCAUGUAAUGGAUGCAAGGUAGUUAAGAAAACUUGUACAGAAGAAGAACAGAGGACUAAGGCUGCGUUCCAGUUACCUCGGAAGUCCGGGCUGGGAGUGAUGUUGAUAGCACACACAAACCUCAUCUACUAACUGGGUACACUGAGGAUUGCGUCUGUCAAAUGAGCAAAACAGCGUGCGCAAUCGAUUUAGCGUGUUUGCCUUCAUGAAUAUGCAGAAUGUAUGAAGAUCAUCAGAACGCGCAAAACUCUGGAAGGAGCAGAGAUUUCUAGUAUAUCUUCUUGCAUCUGUAAAGCACUUUGAAGACCCUACACCGGACCGGAAAUGAGUAACGUGAGUUAAGACGCGGAAGCACGAAUCGGCGGGGAGGCGGGUAGUUGAAAACGUUUUUCUGGUCAGAGUUUGAUUCGUGAUAAAUACGUGGAAUAUUACUGAGGUUAAUGUUACUGAGAAGUCUUUGAAGGCUCAAAAACAGCCAUUUGUUAAAAAAUAAGUAAAUAUGUUGAUAUAUUACUUAAAUUUAGAACAUUUUAAAACUUUUAAAAAAAUUUAAAAAUUGGCUGAUUAACCAGUAAUCAGAUUUUUUUCCUCCCUAACAAACGGUAUCGGCAUCGGCCCUAAAAUUUCCAUAUCGGUCAUGCCCUACUCUAUACUGAGCCCAGCUGACCGGGGCAGCACUACGCUGCAAAUACGCUGCAAAUACGCUGAUCCUGUGUGCGAUACCCAGGACUGCUCUACGGAGCAAAUACGAACACACUAAAUACGGAUCCUGUAUGUUUUCCGCUUUGCUCCUUCCACCCUUCUGCAAGUUAGACUACAUCAUAGUCCUUCUGACUGUCAGGUCAGUAAAUCUCCCAUGAUGCUUUGAAACCCUGAAGCAGGACUGCUGGGGUGCGUGCAGGCUCAGUUACAAUGACAAAAGGCCGAAUCUGCAGCUGUUCUCCUGAAACCAGCCAACAGCCUCGGAGUGUCUCCCUCCAACUCUCCAGUUUUGCCGCGAGCCCCUUUCAGAACACAUCACAUCCCUUUGUGUCAGAGCUGCUGGACUCGGCUCUCCAGAGUCUGUCUGUUGUGCUGCCGUCGCCCUGAAGGCUGUACACACUGUGUGUUUCCUCAGGGUGGGUCCAAGUUUAUUUAGACCCUCCCCGACACUCUGAGCCAGGAAACCUCCAGGGCUGCUGACCGACCCGUCACCGCACACACUCUCUAAACUGGACAGAGACUAGAGAGAAGACUCCGGCUCAUUUCUGUGAGCUGGAUGAUUGGACUCGGAGACGAGAGGCUGCUCUUUUGGCUCUUCUCCUCACUCAGUCCACAGGCAAAGGCCACAACAGUGAACAGGUUCUGAUUUAACCGUUCAUGCCCCAAUUAUCCUCAGAAUGAUGCUGCUGAGCUCUCAGUCAUCACAGUUCCUGCUGACGGUGUUCAGCCUGACAGACCCCCUCAGGGUUUUACUGGAGGACAGAGAGAUGACAAAAAAAGAGAGAAAAUAGGAGGACGGAGAGGUGCAAAAUGUGACAAACUAAAUAGGAAGUACGAGAGUGGAGGCGCUACGAUGUUCCUGCAUGCAUACACUUGUUUGCAAGCUUUAAGGCUUGUUUUUGCUUCACUGUCAAGGUCACAUAGUGUACUCUGUUAUAUUUUUACACCUCAGGUUUGUAAUAAAUCUGGGCUAUAAAACUAAACAUCACCAGAAACCUUCUCGACGGUUUCUAUUUCAGUCUGUAAACCUCGUCUGAACCUGGAGCUUCCUCCUCUGAGCUCUUACUAGAUUUCCUCCACUUCCUAAUGAGUCUCAGAUUCACCCUCAGAGCAGUUACAUGUUGCAGCGUAUCAUCCAUAAAUCAUCAGCUCAUUCGUUUUUACAUAUUAUUAAAGAAUGCAGAUUUGUAAGUGAUUGCUUUGAUCAGCGGUUAAUUACGAGAGUGAGGGAGUGAGCGUUGAGGGAAUUUCCUUCGUAUCCAAACGAGUAAAAGUGUCGUUUGUCUUCCCGAUGAAACACACACAAACUUCUCUGUCGACAUGAUGUAACAGAAAAUAAAUCAACUUUCUUUCUCCUUCAUUUAUAGACCAACAGCAUGAAGACGAACUCCAGAGGAACACCAGUGGGUGACGGUCCAGUUUCUCAGCAGGACUCUUCUCCUACAGAGCCACGCUGUUGUCAGAAUGUGGUUGAGGAUCAUAUGAAGAUCUUCCCUGAAGAAGUCUUUGACUGGAUGGCAGUAGAUGUUGCUCCCAAACCUGGAGAUAUUGUUUAAAACUGAGGAUGCAGCAUCUAUGAUUUCUAGU
rnacentral:lncRNA from 1 species